ACGCUCGACACCUACGGGAGGCAGCAGUCGGGAAUAUUGCGCAAUGGAGGAAACUCUGACGCAGUGACGCCGCGUAUGGGAAGAAGGUUUUCGGAUUGUAAACCAUUUUAGACAAGGAAGAAACAAGACAGUACUUGUAGAAUAAGCUCCGGCUAACUACGUCCCAGCAGCCGCGGUAAUCUGAGCGGGCUGGCAAGGC
rnacentral:rRNA from 1 species